AACUCAAAGGAAUUGACGGGGGAGCACCACAACGGGUGGAGCUUGCGGUUUAAUUGGAUUCAACGCCGGAAAUCUUACCGGGACCGACAGCAAUAUGAAGGCCAGGCUGAAGACUUUGCCGGAUUAGCUGAGAGGUGGUGCAUGGCCGUCGUCAGUUCGUACUGUGAAGCAUCCUGUUAAGUCAGGCAACGAGCGAGACCCACGCCCACAGUUGCCAGCGUACUCUCCGGAGUGACGGGUACACUGUGGGGACCGCCGCUGCUAAAGCGGAGGAAGGAAUGGGCAACGGUAGGUCAGUAUGCCCCGAAUAUCCCGGGCUACACGCGAGCUACAAUGGUUGGUACAAUGGGUAUCUACCCCGAAAGGGGACGGGAAUCUCCUAAAACCAAUCUUAGUUCGGAUUGAGGGCUGCAACUCGCCCUCAUGAAGCUGGAAUCCGUAGUAAUCGCGUUUCAACAGAACGCGGUGAAUACGUCCCUGCUCCUU
rnacentral:rRNA from 1 species